rnacentral:siRNA from 1 species
AGCGUCAUUGGCGAAGGUGGUA